GACGAACGCUGGCGGCGUGCUUAACACAUGCAAGUCGAACGAAGAGCGAUGGAAGCUUGCUUCUAUCAAUCUUAGUGGCGAACGGGUGAGUAACGCGUAAUCAACCUGCCCUUCAGAGGGGGACAACAGUUGGAAACGACUGCUAAUACCGCAUACGAUCUAACCUCGGCAUCGAGGAAAGAUGAAAGGUGGCCUCUAUGUAUAAGCUAUCACUGAAGGAGGGGAUUGCGUCUGAUUAGCUAGUUGGAGGGGUAACGGCCCACCAAGGCGAUGAUCAGUAGCCGGUCGGAGAGGAUGAACGGCCACAUUGGGACUGAGACACGGCCCAGACUCCUACGGGAGGCAGCAGUGGGGAAUCUUCCGCAAUGGACGAAAGUCUGACGGAGCAACGCCGCGUGAGUGAUGACGGCCUUCGGGUUGUAAAGCUCUGUUAAUCGGGACGAAAGGCCUUCUUGCGAAUAGGGAGAAGGAUUGACGGUACCGGAAUAGAAAGCCACGGCUAACUACGUG
rnacentral:rRNA from 1 species